AAUAAAUAUAGUUUUAUACUGUUCAUGUCUAACGUUUGACUGUUCAUCUUAUAUAACAUUUUUUUAUAGUAUUUUUGUUAUUAUUAGAUGAUAAAACUAGUACUUCAUAUGUGACUAAUUUUUUUAAUAAAUUUUUCAAAUAAGAUAAAUGGUCAAACGUUGAACAUGGAUAUUCACGACUGCACUUAUU
rfam:Oryza glaberrima chromosome 8 Oglab08_unplaced138_32, whole genome shotgun sequence.